GGGGCGUUAGCUCAAUUGGGAGAGCGAUGCCUUUGCAAGGCAUAGGUCGCCGGUUCGAUCCCGGCACGCUCCA
rnacentral:tRNA from 1 species